CUUCAAAAUGUCUUAUCAAUCCAGUAAAAUGGGCAGGCGCCCACUUGAAUACAGGCGGACAGUAGAUCGGCGCAAAAAUAAUUCCCUUUUUAUUUUCCUUUUCAGUGAAGACGAUGACAUGUGCACUCUGGAUGAAUGGCUUUGAAAUUGGCUGCAGUGCAGAGUGGGUGACAUCGUCCCGGAACAGGAUGGCUACUCCCCCUCUGCGAUCGUUUGCCGGAUUUUGUGCAGUGAAAACUUCGACCUCGUUCAACUUGUUUGUCACACCACACGCGUUCCAGAAGGCAAUUUUAAAAGAGUUGUGGGUGGAAAUAGUCUGUACUGGAUUGACUUUUUGGUUUGACAGGCUAUUCGGGACUGGACUAAACAUAGAAGGCAUCAUUGGCGGAGGACAGGACCAUGUCCAAAGAGUUUGAAAAUAGACUAUCGAUUUUGGCCUCAAGUCUUGAGAGAAA